GAAACCUGUCUUAAGGAGUGGCCUGAGGGUAGGGUUACACAUGGAAAUGAGGUAAACUGGCUGACAACGGAAUGCAGCUAUCGCAGCCCCAGAGGUCCUCGGGCAUCAGCUAUUAUUCUUGGUCAUCUGGUGAUGUCGCAAUAAGGUGAUAUCUCGACUCCAGAUUGGGUGGACCUGACUAUGCCUGUUCAAUAACACAUUGUCCACAGCUGCGUCGCCUCCUUAAUUGCUUCGUCCGGGAUUGAGGCGAGUGUACAGGCACAGAGGCCUAGGAAAAAGAAACGGAAGAGAAUAGAAACUUGAACCCCUGUUCACGUUCUUCCCCAGCUUUGGGUCCAGAAGGAGAGAAGCCAGACAAUGACUACCAUGUUCAGGGCUGCAUCAUGGACUUUUAAGAAUCUUCAUUGCUCCUCAGUCUUUCUUUCAGCAAGAAUGAGCAGCAAAACAGCAGAUAGAAGCUAUACCCUGUCUGGGAAGGUGGCUGUGAUUACUGGGUCCACAAAUGGGAUCGGCUUUGCCAUCUCCAGACGUCUGGCCCAGGACGGAGCCCACGUGGUGGUCAGCAGCCGGAAGCAGCAGAACGUGGACCGGGCAGUGGCAGAGCUGCAGGGGGAGGGGCUGAGCGUGUCAGGCACAGUGUGCCACGUGGGGAAGGCUG